GACAAAACGUCCGGUGGGAUUAUGUCUUGUUCUGUUCAAUCCUUCAAACUAAAUAAUCUUCUGUUUCCAAGGAAAAGAAACUUCAUCGAAAUUAAAACAGGAAAAACACAAAGAAAAUAGGCUCCUCACCCUUGACAAAAUGGCAACAAAUUUUCCAAACACUCCCAUUAGCAGCAAUGUCCAACACCUCUGAAUUUCAAAUUGAUAACAGACUAGACAAAACAGAACACAGACAUUGUCAUAAUGAGCAAACACUCAACAAAACUAAUUUUGCAGAAACCUAAGGAGCAAACACCUUGAAGCUUCGUUGAGGCACCCUUUUGAAUAUAGCUUUUGUAAGAUCGGAAUAGAGGGAGAGGUGUCCCAGAGCGAAAAGGGUCACUGGCAAGCAUGUUACACCAUAUAUUGGGUAUGUAGCAUAUCUCAAUUUUUCUUGGAGAACAAAGAAAUGGCCUGCACUGAAUGACACCAGCAUGAAAGCUAUGGAUGAGAAGAGCGAAGUUAAUCCAAGAAGGAGCUUGUUUGGCAACUCACUGGCAAAAUCCUUUUCGUCAAAUCGAGAGGUGAGAAUUGAAAGAAAGAACACAAGGGCUGUCACCGAACAGCAGAGAGCAACAACUGAUGAGAUAGCGAAGACGGUGAAUGGAGCUUCAUCUGCAAAAUUUGGUUCACCGUUAUUUUCAUUGAAACUGCCUGGUAUAGUUGUUGAUGUUGCAAAUGCAACCGUUGCUAUAAGUGCUGCAACGACAGAACAGGCCUCUGAGGUUUUGGUUAACCAUUCUCUGCCAUUUUUAGCGAGCUCCUUGUGUGUUUCCAUGAAUAUUUGCUUUGCAGUUAGACCUUUCUUAUCAUAUCGAGCAAAAAAAUUUCGUGGCUUUGAUUUCUUAACAAACUGCUCGAGACAAUACAGUGUAAUUAGUCUCAAAUAGAACCAUCUUAAAUAUAAAUACUCAGUUUCCCGGAAGAAUAGCAUUUGAAGUUCUGAAAUCUCCUUUGAGAAAAGACAAGUAAGAAACAGAAGGCAACAGAUAGAAAAUACCUUGUACCACUUGUAUUCCCAUUGCAUUUGUAAGGCAGCUCCUGGAAUGAGCCAAGGCUUGUAAUCUCCAAAUUUUGCAGCAAGGUGCAAUGCACUGUUUCCAUCUUUAUCCACUUGGCAGAAGAUGAUAUCCUUUGGUACUGCCUUCUUCAUCAACAUGGUAUAAACUUGGGUCUGCCUGUGCUCUACUGCCAAGAGCACAACAUUUUUUUUAUCAGAGUCCACAUCCAUCAUAGCCACAGGAAAUGUGUCCAGGAUUUUCUCCACCAUCUCUCUUAUCCCCAUCCUAGCUGCAGUUAGUAUAGCUGUUUCCUUCUUCACCUCUCGAUCACAAGUCUCAGGUGGCUGGGAAAUUCCAUUUUCGCCUGACCCAGUUCUAGCAGGCUCCUUGCCAUUGUCUUUGUAUUUGUAAUUAGAAGCAUGCUGAACCAGUUGGUUCAUGACCUGAGUAGCCCUUUUGUGUAUCUCUUUCUUCUCUUUAAUCUUCCUUAUCCUUGAAAACCCCAGUCCCAGAAUCACCAUAAUGGCGGUCAUCACGAGCUUGAAAAGAACAACUGGUGUUACAUAAUUAGGAGGGAAAACAUCCUCUUGCCCUGCCUUCUCUGUUAGGCCAGUUCCACUGUUUGCAAUUGAUCUAUUUGUUGCGGUUGAAUCUUCUAUUUCUAUAUCUGCGUUUGAUUUGCAUUUUACUGUGGAUGAUGAUGAUCCCGCUGUGCCUGCCCCUAAACCCCUUCUCUGGCUGGGAUUCUCCAGAUCACUUCCGUUGCAAUUUCUGCUUUGGCUGUUGGCUAGAAGGGGACCUCCAAAUAAUUUUUUCAACAGUACCAAUGACAUAUGAAGGAACCACUCCAUCAUUCCAAUGAAGCUCAUGCAAGUUCCAUAAUUAGGUGGGCAACGGCAAUAAGUUUCGAUUCCUGAAGCUCGACUGUCUUUUUCUGCCGCCUCCUUGGGCUUACCAACAAUAAUGCAAUUGUAGAUGGCAGUAUCAAAUAGCCCAAGGCGACUGCUGCUUUUGAAUGCAUGUGGCUUACUUGCCAGAAUAUUGAGAGGAACCUCACCACUCCGAUUUCUAUAGUCCAUUAGUUCUGGGUAAUCUUUCAUUAUCUUCAACGCCAAGUCAAAGUUUUCUCCAAUGAUGGCAGAGUGAAGGAUGGUAUUACCAUCGUUGUCUCUAAUUCUGAAUGCUGUAUUAAAACCCACAAUUCCCUUGCUAAAUUCCUGUAGACAAAUGAAGGCUUCCAUCUUUCCACGAGAGACUGCCAAGAAGAGAGGAGUCUUACCCUCCUCAUUCCGAUCACUAAUAAGCUGCGCGGACUUGGAAGCCAUGCAAUCACACACUUUUACGUUCCCAAUCUCCGCUGCUAUGUGGAGAGCGGUGUUGCCUCUCUUAUUCUUUAAACCCAGGACGGUUGAUGCAUUUUCUCUUAUUGUUUCCACAAGUUGGGAUACAAUUUCCGUUUGACCAGUUUCAACAGCUAUGUGCAGAGCUGUGUCCUCUGAAUCUGUGAUCUUGGUUGUUUGAUUUCUGGGAUUAUUCUGAUAGGCUUCAACUAUUUUACUCCACUGCCCAUUCAUGGCAUAUUCAAAUAAUUCAUCUGUAUUUACUUCUGAUGAACUCAUCAUAUCUGUUCAAAAGGCUUGGGAUGUUUAUGAGAUUUCAAGUUGAAGUGUUAAUGAUCAAUAUAUACUGAUAAAGAUUGAGCUUUCACUGCAGAGAGAAUAAUUAAUCGUUCCUUUUCUUUAUCUUUUCA
rnacentral:misc_RNA from 1 species